CAGAACACUAAAAAGGGGAGCUAAGAAAACUACUUCCUGUGUUAUUAAGUAAAAACUUAUUAUAUAUAUAUCAGGAUAUAUGGUUCACAUUGGAGCUGUGAAAACAACUAGUGUUUGAGCGCUGCAUCACCUGGUGUGAGGUGAGGCUGAGGCAACAGGAGGCGUUAGUGAGGACAGCCAAGUAAUUCCCCAGAGACCAGCUCGGACAACAGCCACUUCUGGAUGUUCCCUCAGCUUCAGCCCUCACAUGCUGCUGGCACAUAUCCUGGAACUGAGCCUGGGAUCGAAUCUGGAUCAGACGAGAGAAACGAUUUCUUGAACAGUUUUUCCAAGCAUGAUGUUUGACAGGAGCUGAUGGCUAAAGUGGUGAAGGAAGACGCAGACAAACAAUGGUGAGAUGAAGGGAGGAGAAUCUUAGAGCGAACCCUGGAUUGCUCCAUCUCACACAUGGCAUGGAUGGCCUUCAGACUCCACAGACUGGCUGAGUUCUCUGAUCGAAACACCAACUGAGCCAAAUGCUCGCCUGUGUGAAGAGAGAUAGAUGAAUUUAACAUACAGAAACAAGAUGACCGGCAGUGAAUCAUCAGUGUGUUGAGAAUGGUACGCAGCAUUGUUUAGAUUAGCGUAAUUGUUGACAAGAGGUCUGAGUGGAAACAUUCAUGGAGGUAAAAGUAGGCCAACAAUAAAUUCCUUAUGUGCAACAUCUAUUGGUCUCCUUUGAAUACAAAAAAAGACUUCACAUAAUG